CAUGAAGCUGGAAUCGCUAGUAAUCGCGAAUCAGCAUGUCGCGGUGAAUACGUUCCCGGGUCUUGUACACACCGCCCGUCACACCAUGGGAGUCGGAAACGCCCGAAGCCAGUGACCCAACCGAUAAAACGGAGGGAGCUGUCGAAGGUGGGGCCGGUAACUGGGGUGAAGUCGUAACAAGGUAGC
rnacentral:rRNA from 1 species